rnacentral:rRNA from 1 species
AGCAGCCGCGGUAAUUCCAGCUCCAAUAGCGUAUAUUAAAGUUGUUGCAAGUUAAAAAGCUCGUAGUUGAAUUUCGGAAUCGACGGAUUGGUCGCGCCUUCGGUGUGUACUGGUCUUGCCGGUUUCUCCCUUCUGACGAACCACGAUGUCAUUAAUUUGGUGUCGUGGGGAAUCAGGACUGUUACUUUGAAAAAUUAGAGUGUUUAAAGCAGGCAUUAGCUUGAAUACAUUAGCAUGGAAUAAUGAAAUAGGACGUUUGAUCUUAUUUUGUUGGUUUCUAGGAUCGACGUAAUGAUUAAUAGGGAUAGUUGGGGGCAUUAGUAUUCAAUUGUCAGAGGUGAAAUUCUUGGAUUUAUUGAAGACUAACUACUGCGAAAGCACUUGCCAAGGAUGUUUUCAUUAAUCAAGAACGAAAGUUAGGGGAUCGAAGACGAUCAGAUACCGUCGUAGCCUUAACCAUAAACUAUGCCGACUAGGGAUCGGAUGAUGUUAAUUUUUAAUGUACUCA